GACGAACGCUGGCGGCGUGCUUAACACAUGCAAGUCGAACGGAAAGGCCUGCUUUCCCUUGUGGUUUGCGGGUACUCGAGUGGCGAACGGGUGAGUAACACGUGAGUGAUCUGCCCCCAACUUGGGUAUAAGCCUGGGAAACUGGGUCUAAUUCCCGAUAGGACUGCAGGGUGGUGCCUGUGGUGGAAAACGAUUUUCUAGUGGUUGGGGAUGAGCUCGCGGCCUAUCAGCUUGUUGGUGGGGUAAUGGCCUACCAAGGCGGCGACGGGUAGCCGGCCUGAGAGGGUGGACGGCCACAUUGGGACUGAGACACGGCCCAGACUCGUACGGGAGGCAGCAGUGGGGAAUAUUGCAGAAUGGGCGGAAGCCUGAUGCAGCGACGCCGCGUGGGGGAUGACGGGCUUCGGGUUGUAAACUCCUUUCGACCGCGAGGAAGCCACCUGGUUGGAAGGGUGGUGACGGUAGUGGUAGAAGAAGCACCGGCUAACUACGUG
rnacentral:rRNA from 1 species